rnacentral:tRNA from 1 species
GGGCCUGUGCGCAGGCGCCGGUUACUUCUACUUCGGAUAGAGAGGUCGCGGGGUUCGACUCCCCGCCGUCCCG